AUUGAACGCUGGCGGCAGGCCUAACACAUGCAAGUCGAACGCGUGGCGGACGGGUGAGUAAUGUCUGGGAAACUGUCUGAUGGAGGGGGAUAACUACGGGAAACGGUAGCUAAUACCGCAUACCCUCAGAUGUGCCCAGCUGGGAUUAGCUUGUUGGUGGGGUAAAGGCUCACCAAGGCGACGCUCCCUAGCUGGUCUGAGAGGAUGACCAGCCACACUGGAACUGAGACACGGUCCAGACUCCUAAGGGAGGCAGCAGUGGGGAAUAUUGCACAAUGGGCGCAAUCCUGAUGCAGCCAUGCCGCGUGUAUGAAGAAGGCCUUCGGGUUGUAAAGUACUUUCAGCGGGGAGGCGUUACCCGCAGAAGAAGCACCGGCUAACUCCGUGCCAGCAGCCGCGGUAAUUC
rnacentral:rRNA from 1 species